AUUGAACGCUGGCGGUAGGCCUAACACAUGCAAGUCGAACGCGAAAGUCCUGGAUGAGUAGAGUGGCGGACGGGUGAGUAACGCGUAGGAAUCUAUCCUGUAGUGGGGGAGUAACGUUUCGAAAGGAACGCUAAUACCGCAUACGCCCCAAGGGGGAAAGCGGGGAUCUUCGGACCUCGUGCUAUAGGAGGAGCCUGCGUCGGAUUAGCUAGUUGGUGAGGUAAAGGCUCACCAAGGCGACGAUCCGUAGCUGGUCUGAGAGGAUGAUCAGCCACACCGGAACUGAGACACGGUCCGGACUCCUACGGGAGGCAGCAGUGGGGAAUAUUGCGCAAUGGGCGAAAGCCUGACGCAGCCAUACCGCGUGUGUGAAGAAGGCCUCGGUUG
rnacentral:rRNA from 1 species